AUUAAGAAAGCCCCUUUAACGAUGCACAUGGAUUGGGAAGGAGGGAAGGCAGGACUCAGCAGCCGAGGCACUUGUCAAUCUGCAUUUCUGGAAUUUCUGCCCCUUCUUGUCGAUUGUGGAGCAGGGCUGUAAGAGCCAGAGCCUGUGCCACUGCUGGCGGUGCGGAGCCGGCGCCAACCCCCAGCGCCGCACCCGC
rnacentral:lncRNA from 12 species